ACAUACGACCAUAUCUAUUAGAAAAUUCGGGAUCCCGUCCGCUCUCCCAUAAAUAAGCCAAUGAGAGCCGGAAUAGUAGUUGGGUCAAUAACAACCAGCGAGUACCUGGUGUUGUAUAUA
rnacentral:rRNA from 1 species